UACGUAGGGGGCAAGCGUUGUCCGGAUUUACUGGGCGUAAAGCGCGCGUAGGUGGAAGGUCAAGUCCGGCUUGAAAGCCCCCGGCUCAACCGGGGAGAGUGGCUGGAAACUGGCUUUCUUGAGGGCGAGAGAGGAGGGUGGAAUUCCUGGUGUAGCGGUGAAAUGCGUAGAUAUCAGGAGGAACACCGGUGGCGAAAGCGCGAGACUGGGCCAUAACUGACGCUGAGGAACGAAAGCCAGGGGAGCAAAAGGG
rnacentral:rRNA from 1 species